UGCACUCCAUGGUACCUGCAUCCAGCAGUUGAUUCCUGCUGGGUGUUCAAAGGAUAGUGUAAUAAAUUCAGUGUCUGGUAUCAUUGGUUUUCUUGGCUUUGUGCAUGUUAAACCUGGUGUUUUUGAAACAGCA